UCCGGAUGGACCCUUUAAAUAGAACCUGGUCUUGCGUGUUGUACCGUGAUGCUCAAACAGAUUAGUACACCAUCACCAGGGUGCUGCUCACAUUGUACUAGACGCUGAUAAAGAUGCAAGCAGCUGGGUGGACUUUGGUUUUCUGUCUGUGCUUCAACUGUGCGUUUUCAAUUGAAUCCUGUGAGCAUUUAGGAGGAAUCGUUGAAGAGUACAGACUAGGGGCUCUAGUUGGGUCAUCUUUGCUUCUACCAUGCAACAUUCAAAAAAGCGGCCUCAAAACAGUGACAUGGAACUACAAUGGCUCAGGGCAAUUGCUCAAUCUGUCAUCUGAAGGGCACGUUACAUUCCUGGACCCCAGAAAUGGCCGAGUGAAAGCCUUUCCAAACCAGGGCUCAGAGGGGAACUACUCUAUCAGAAUUGAUGCUCUUGAAAAGGCUGACGUAGGAUUUUAUCACUGUAUACAGGGGGGGAAAUGUGUUCAAGUGGUGCUGUAUGAGAUAGGUACACAAAGAAUCCCGUGGCUGGUGAAUUACAUCUGCGCUGGUGUGACUGCUCUAUUUGUGGUGGGUGUUGGUGGCUACUUCAGCUACCAAAAAUGCAAAGGGGAAGACAGGUGAGAAGCCACAGAAUCUUCCUUUUAUAAUUAAUCCUCAGAAGAGGGAAAAGAGAAGAAGGAUGAAGAAGAGCAAAAAUGAAAAGAUUGAAAAGUUACAAAAAUACAAAAUUCUAUAAAUUAUUCAUGAACUAACUGCAAUUAAUGACAUCUAAGGUUGCAAAGCCAUUUUUAAAGCUUCAGGAUUCCAGAGAACCACAGUGAAAGCCAUUAUCCACACACGGAGAAAACUUGGAAAAGUGGUGAACCUUCCCAGGAGUGACCGCCUAACAAGAAGACUCCAUGAUCGCAUUGACCUCAUCUAGGAGGUGAAAAAGAAAACAGAACAUCAUCUCAUGAACUGCAGGCCUCACUUGUCUCAGUUAAUGUCAGAGGUCAUGAUUCAACAAUAAGAGAUAUUGCUCCUUAUCACAACUGUUUGCUUUGAGAGUUUUGCUGCUGCCGCACAACCAGUUAUUAGGUUUAGGGAGCAAUUACUUUUUUCACACAGGGCCAGUUAGGCUUGGAUCAUUUUUAUUCCUUUAAUAAAUGAAAUCAUCAUUUAAAGACUGCAUUUUAUACUUACUCGGGUUACCUUUGUGUGAUAUUGAAGUGUUUGUUGAUCUGAAACAGUCUGACAAACAUGCAAAAAGAAAAAGAAAUCAAGAAGAGGGAAAACCACUUCUUCACAGCAAUGUAUGCAUAUAUGCUGAUUUUUUUUUUUUUUUUUUUGACACUUCCCUUUCACAACCCACUGUGGCUUAUGGUUCUAAUUUAAACUCUCUACUCUGAAACCUGAAAUUUAUGCAGUGUGUGCAUCCACGUGUAAAUUGCAUUGGCUUCUAAAAGAGAAGGUUUGCUUAUCUGUUGUUUACUAAAAUAUAGCAAGUGACAUCAACCACCAAAUAAAACUAACAAAGAAAAG
ensembl:lncRNA